AUGGCCUGGGUCAGACAGGCUCCUGGAAAAGGACUGGAGUGGAUUGCUGCUAUCAGUGGCAGUGGUAGCAGCACUGACUACUCUCAGAGUUUGGAUGAGAUCAAACUGGACCAGUCUCCCUCUGAGGUGAGAAGACCUGGAGAGACAGUGAAGAUGUCAUGUAUCAUAUCUGGCUCUGACAUGACAAGCUACAAUAUGCACUGGAAAAGAAAGAGGCCAGGGAAAGCUCUGGAGUGGAUUGGGAAAAUGAACACAGGUUCAAACUCUGCUAUCUAUGGCAGCUCCUUUCAAAGUCCUUCCAUCAUGACUGAGGAUGAGUCCAGCAGCACUCAGUACCUCCAGGUCAAGGAUCUGACAGCAGAAGAUUCUCGUCUUUACUUCCGUGCUGGACAAAGUGACUGGAGACAGUGGAGCAGCUGCACAAAACCCUCCACAGACAACAAGUAA